GAUGAACGCUGGCGGCGUGCCUAAUACAUGCAAGUCGAGCGAACAGAUGAGGAGCUUGCUCCUCUGACGUUAGCGGCGGACGGGUGAGUAACACGUGGAUAACCUACCUAUAAGACUGGGAUAACUUCGGGAAACCGGAGCUAAUACCGGAUAAUAUAUUGAACCGCAUGGUUCAAUAGUGAAAGACGGUUUUGCUGUCACUUAUAGAUGGAUCCGCGCCGCAUUAGCUAGUUGGUAAGGUAACGGCUUACCAAGGCAACGAUGCGUAGCCGACCUGAGAGGGGGAUCGGCCACACUAGAACUGAGACACGGUCCAGACUCCUACGGGAGGCAGCAGUAGGGAAUCUUCCGCAAUGGGCGAAAGCCUGACGGAGCAACGCCGCGUGAGUGAUGAAGGUCUUCGGAUCGUAAAACUCUGUUAUUAGGGAAGAACAAAUGUGUAAGUAACUAUGCACGUCUUGACGGUACCUAAUCAGAAAGCCACGGCUAACUACGUG
rnacentral:rRNA from 1 species